rnacentral:lncRNA from 1 species
UAGAGCAAUUGGUGGACAUGAUAAAAUUCUCCUAUAGUGGAAGUUGUUUCUUAGUAAGACCUUUGGUCAUUCCCACCUUGGCUUUGAGCCAAAAAAUGAUUUGUUGGCCGGGCUGGAUCGAAUUGUGCUUAACUUGAUUGAUUGUGUGAUUCUUGUCAUGCACGGUAGAGUGCUUCUGGAUUCUCCAUUGCUUUAAUAGUUUGCUAAUGAUGUUUUUUUCUCAAUUUUUAUCUCCUUAUUUGUUUCAAUUUUUAUCGUUCUUGUUUUCUUUUCCUUUUUAUUUUGUACCCUUUUUAUCAACUAUCUAUUUUAUUUUAUUUUUCAUAAAAACAAACCUUACGAAACUAUAACAAAACUGAAUUGAUUGAAAAUUAUUUUUCUUUAUCUAUAUCAAUAUGAACAUUAUUAACAAGUGCCUCCACGAUACUUAUUAAGAAAGCAAAAAAGAAAAUAAAUAACCAGUGGCAAAUUACUAUUUUUGCAUCCUUAAUCAGGGUCUCGGAGCACUGUUUAACAUUUUCUAAUAAAUAAUAAGUUAUGAAAAAAAACUAAAAUUUAAAUUCUUAAGUACUAUUUUUAGAGCCUUAACUAAUCACUGAAGAACGCAUUCCUCUGUAAAUAUAAACAAAAUGAAGGAUGAAUUUUUCUAAAAAAAAAAAUAUGAAGGAUGAAUUGGAAUUGGAUGAUUGGAGGAACAAAUCAUGUGAGAACUUUUAUUUAUUUUUUUGUCCGUAAAACCAUGUGAGAGAUUUACCUAGUAACAAAACAAAAGCACGUCUUAUGUUGUCGGAAGUGGGUCCAACAGAACAUAGCAUUAGUACAACUUUUCUUCGAAUAUUUUUAGAAACACAUAGGAAAAACAAUGAUAAUACAUUUGUGGUAAUUUAAAAAAUUAAUUUAUACAGCUAUA